rnacentral:lncRNA from 1 species
UCUUUGUUUUCAUCCGUCAUCAUCACAUUAAAAAAAAAAGCAUUGCAAAACACAUUGAGAAAUACAGAAUGACUGGAUAAGAUGAUUCCAUCUCCAUCCUUAUAAAGAGACGGGUAACUCACGACUGCUCAGCAGAGACGUCCACAUCACCUCUAGAUCUCACAGUGCUCACUUUGCUGUCUGUGACACCAGUUUUUUCCUUGUUCCGACAAACAAGCUGCGGAAAGGAUGAAGGGUGUUAUGAUCUUUCUGCUGUUGACGCUGGUCGUCAUCAUGGCUGAACCUGAGGAGAGUCAUAAUCCACAUGAUAUUGUCUGCGUGCGGCCCCCAUGCAGACCUCCAUGGAGACAACGCAGAUGGGGAAGAUCCCAAGAUGAAGUGGCCGAAGAAAGACUGAGGCGAUACUAUGAAGACUGAGUCUGUUCUUGGUUUUGAAGAUAUAGUUUCAGCUAUGUCUUUGUGCUCUGCAAAGCAAGAAAUAAUUGGAUGAGUAAACAUGAAGCUUUUGAGAUGUAGUGAUUUUAGUCACAGCUCCAACUGAUGUUGAAAAAAGUAAAAUUGCUUGAUAGUGAAAACUAUCCUGCUGAAUAAAGCUGCAUUCCAAAAGACCGUCUCUGUGUUGUGGUGUUAUUUAAGUGAACAUGUGCUUGUAAUUUUAUUGGUGAUGAUGAUCAAGAACAUUGUUUUUAUUAAGUCUGAGGUAAAUGUUUGUAUUAAGUAGAUUUAAAUAAUGAGUGUGUUGGUGUGAUCAGUUUAUAAAUGAACACUCUUCCUAUUUCUUUCUCUUUCUGAAUGUACUUGUGUCUCUGAUAAAGCAACACGUUGGAAAUGAUUCAAUUCUGACAUUUCCUCCAUCAACAGAUGAAUUACUUGGUCUAUAAAGC